UACCACAGCCAUAUCACCCUGCAGCCCAAGACUGGUUGCCCAUUGAAGCUAAGCAGAGUUGAGCCUGGUCAGUACCUGGAUGGGAGACCUCCUGGGAAAACUAGGUUGCUGCUGGAA
rnacentral:rRNA from 1 species